CCCUUAGAUGUUCUGGGCUGCACGCGCGCUACACUGAAGCUAUCAACACGUUUUCCCUCCCUGAGAAGGGCGGGUAACCUUUUGAAUCAGCUUCGUGGUAGGGAUCGGGGCUUGCAAUUGUUCCCCGUGAACCAGGAAUUCCUAGUAGACGCGAGUCAUAAGCUCGCAUCGAUUAAGUCCCUGCCCUUUGUACACACCGCCCGUCGCUACUACCGAUUGAACGUUUUAGUGAGGCAUUUGGGCCGACGCAUCUCAGUUUAACCGCUGGUUUGUGUUGGAAAGACUUCCAAACUUGAGCGUUUAGAGGAAGUAAAAGUCGUAACA
rnacentral:rRNA from 1 species